GACGUAGGUGGCGAACGUUAUCCGGAAUUAUUGGGCGUAAAGGGUGCGUAGAUGGUAUGAUAAGUUAUUGGUGGUAAAUCGGGGCUCAACCUCGUGGAAGCUAGUAAUACUGUUAUACUUGAGUACAGGAGAGGUUAAUGGAAUUCCCUGUGGAGCGGUAAAAUGCGUUAGAUAUAGGGAGGAACACCAAUAACGGCGAAGGCAAUUAACUAUCCUGCUACUGACAUUGAGGCACGAAAGCGUGGGGAGCAAAACGG
rnacentral:rRNA from 1 species